GCUUGCUUGGUUUGCACGCAUUGUAGUUCCUCUUGAGCCUCGGUUAAUGCUUGCUGGACUUGUUGGAUGCCAUAUGGAGGCAAUGAGGCGCGACGAAGGCUUCAUUCAUGUUUUUUGUAAGUCUUCAUGGAGCUAGUGGUUUUGUUUUGAUAGUGACUGUUUAUGGUUUUUGGUUCAAAAACUUUCAACGCAAGCACCAAAAUGUUAGCACAAAAUUUCCCGAACAAAAAAUAAGAGGAAGAAGCUAUCGAAAUGGUGAUGAGUUUGCAUUUGGUUAGAUGGAAGUAGUGGUCAAAUUGUAAAGACACUCAAGAUUUUAUAGCUGUUUAGCCCAAGGUACGACUUAUGUCCACUGUAGUUGUUUUAUUACUCUGUAAUGGAGUUUUGUUUAUGAGUACAAAUAGCUCUCUCUUAGAGAAGAAAAUGGUAUAUCCUCCUUUUACACAAUGGGAAAUGUCUCUACAUAUAGAGGUGAUAAGCUUUGAAUGCCUCUUGGAAAUCUAGUAUGUUUGACUUCUUAAUUGGCAUGAUUAACUCUGAUUGGGUGAUAGGAUCAGUGGCCCUGUUCCCAAUGGUUGAUCAAUUGUUUGUCCUUUUAUAAGCUAAUUCGACAUUUACUACAUAGAUACAUGUGAGAGUUGAUUGAGCUUGAUUUGGACCUGUGACCUGUCGUGUGUGAGCUAUACUUUAUCUGUGGUCACCAUAUUCAUCUAGGUUGUUAUUGCUUCUAUGGUGAUUGUUUCUUCCCAGUAUAACUUUCGUAAAUUUUCUU